CCUACGGGAGGCAGCAGUGAGGAAUAUUGGUCAAUUUCCUAUAUUCUUAACCAGCCAAGUCGCGUGCGGGAAGACGGCCCUACGGGUUGUAAACCUCUUUUGUCGGGGAGCAAAGCGAACCACGUGUGGUUCAUUGAGAGUACCCGAAGAAAAAGCAUCGGCUAACUCCGUGCCAGCAGCCGCGGUAAUACGGAGGAUGCGAGCGGUAUCCGGAUUUAUUGGGUUUAAAGGGUGCGCAGGCGGAGGUGCAAGUCAGCGGUCAAAUUGCGGGGCUCAACCCCGUACUGCCGUUGAAACUGCAUCCCUUGAGUGCGCGAGAAGUAUGCGGAAUGCGUGGUGUAGCGGUGAAAUGCAUAGAUAUCACGCAGAACUCCGAUUGCGAAGGCAGCAUACCGGCGCGCAACUGACGCUCAUGCACGAAAGCGUGGGUAUCGAACAGGAUUAGAUACCCGUGUAGUC
rnacentral:rRNA from 1 species